rnacentral:rRNA from 1 species
UCGAACGGUGUCUUCGGACACAGUGGCGGACGGGUGAGUAACGCGUGAGAAUCUACCUUCAGGUCGGGGAUAACCCCUGGAAACGGGGGCUAAUACCGGAUAGGUCGAAAGAUGAAAGGUUAACUGCCUGAAGAGGGGCUCGCGUCUGAUUAGCUAGUAGGUGUGGUAAGAGCGCACCUAGGCGACGAUCAGUAGCUGGUCUGAGAGGAUGAGCAGCCACACUGGGACUGAGACACGGCCCAGACUCCUACGGGAGGCAGCAGUGGGGAAUUUUCCGCAAUGGGCGAAAGCCUGACGGAGCAAGACCGCGUGGGGGAGGAAGGCCUUUGGGUUGUAAACCCCUUUUGUUAGGGAAGAAAAAAAUGACGGUACCUAACGAAUCAGCCUCGGCUAACUCCGUGCCAGCAGCCGCGGUAAUACGGAGGAGGCAAGCGUUAUCCGGAAUUAUUGGGCGUAAAGCGUCCGUAGGUGGCCCGGCAAGUCUGCUGUCAAAGACCACAGCUCAACUGUGGAAAGGCAGUGGAAACUGCAAGGCUAGAGUGCGGUAGGGGUAGAGGGAAUUCCCAGUGUAGCGGUGAAAUGCGUAGAGAUUGGGAAGAACACCGGUGGCGAAAGCGCUCUACUGGGCCGCAACUGACACUGAUGGACGAAAGCUAGGGGGGGAUUAGAUACCCCAGUAGUCCUAGCUGUAAACGAUGGAAACUAGGUGUAGCACGUAUCGACCCGUGCUGUAUCGGAGCUAACGCGUUAAGUU